AACCCAUGGUGAGGGCACCUUCUCAAUAAAUCCUUGUAUCUCUCCCAUGCAUCAUAGAGUGUCUCUAGAUCUAUUUGCACAAAAGAAGAGAUAUUAUUCCUCAACUU